AGGAGAAACUGAGCUAUAGUCCAAUGAUGGCAUCCCUCUUCAAUUUGGAGAAAGUUCCAGUUUGCAUCUUGAAAGAUGUUUUCUCGGGUAUUUAAUAUCAAUAGCUUUUGAACUGUCAAUUGGCAGCACCAUUGCUCUCAAAGCACAUAUGUAUGGUUAAGGAUAGAAGUGAAACACUGUAGGCUGGAUGGUAUUUAGAAUGCUACUAGUAUCAAAAAGUGUAUCUCC
rnacentral:lncRNA from 1 species